UACUAAUUUACAACUUGUCAAUUCACUAAUAUCAUUAAUUAAUAAGUAUGUAAUUGUGCAAGGAGUGCAUAUGCAAAAAUUCGAAAUAAGAAAGCUAAAACUGAAAUCUAUUAAUCAAGUUCUUAUGUGCUAAAUCAAAUUUAUUUGAAAGUUCUUUAUGUAAUUGUAAUUGUAAGGAUUGAAUGUUGCAGAAAUGAAAUCAAAAGGAGAAACCUAACUGAAUGAUGACCAAAAAGAGGAAUCUGAUCAAAAAAGAAAUUUAUCGAAAAAAGUAAUUACAUGGAAGUACUUUUGUACAAACGAGGAAAUAUAUAACAAAUAUCAGUGCAAUACAUUAUGCAAUUAUUGCGUUCUUUCGUAUACAUUAUCAUCUAAGCAAAUUUCUAGUUUAUCUUUGUAUUAAUGGUUUUACGGGUCAGCGGACUGCAACGUAAUUAACUGCUGCUUCCAGUGCAUGAAAAGAAGAUGAAUCAAUAUAAUUUUUUCAUUAUACAAUGCUUUGUUUUAGUUCCCCGACGUACUUCUCUUAUAUCGUAUUAAUUGCGACAAUUACGAUUAAAACACUAUUACGUUUAUUUUACAUUUAUGUUACUAGCUGAAUUAAUAAUGAUCGAUAUACUUCGUGUACAGACCAUUUACAAGAAAAAAAAUUUGGCACUUCUACGAAAGGUAUGAACAAUGGAAGAAAUAUGAUAACCAUCAACAUUGGCCCUGAGGAACACGAAGAAAUGAUUAAAAUUGCUGUCGAAAAAGAUUAUAUGCCUACCCUAUGUCUACUCGUCUCAGCUGAAGGUCAAGUUCAAAUGUUUCACAGACAUUAUCAUGAGAACUAUCGUUAGAUUAUUCUACGAAGUUUAAUAAUUUUCCAUAGUUCAUAACAUAUACCUGAACGCUCUUGAACAAUUACUAACUAAUUUACUAACUAAUAAUAUAUAUUAGUGACUGGACAAAUUACAAAGUUGAAUAACGAUUGUGCGCCAAAUUUGAAAAUACAAUUGGUGACAUAUUGGCGAUACACCUAAUUUGAAUGGACACAUUGAUGGCUGUAUUUUAAAUGAUAUUUUUAGAUUGAGGGAGUUCCCAAAUUCGAAAUGUCGAAACGGUGUCACUCAUUAGCUUGGAUUCCUUUCACUUGGUUUCUUUCUUAAAAUAUCAAUAAGAUAUUCAUCAUGUGUGGGUUGGUAAAAGAAGUACUUGGAUAUAUUUGACUGUCAAAUUUUUCUACUGAAUAAUAUAC